rnacentral:rRNA from 1 species
UACGAAGGGGGCUAGCGUUGUUCGGAAUUACUGGGCGUAAAGGGCGCGUAGGCGGCCUGCUAAGUCGGACGUGAAAUCCCUCGGCUCAACCGGGGAACUGCGUCCGAUACUGGUGGGCUCGAAUCCGGGAGAGGGAUGUGGAAUUCCAGGUGUAGCGGUGAAAUGCGUAGAUAUCUGGAGGAACACCGGUGGCGAAGGCGGCAUCCUGGACCGGCAUUGACGCUGAGGCGCGAAAGCCAGGGGAGCAAACGGG